UUUAACAACAACAUUUUCAUUAUUUACACAAUUCAAUGCAAUUUCAGGGGUUUAACAUCAACAUUUUCAUCAUUCACACAAUUCAAUAAAAUAUCAUGUGUUUAAUAAUAACAUUUUCAUCAUUCACACAAUUCAAUAAAAUUUCAUGGGUUUAACAACAACAUUUUAAUCAUACCCACAAUUCAAUCAAAUUUCAUGGGUCUAACAUCAACAUUUCAUUAUUUCCAUAAUUCAAUCAAAUUUGAUAGAUGUAACAAUAACGUUUUCAUCAUUCACACAAUCCAAUUAAAUUUCAUGGGUUUAACAUCAACAUUUCAUCAUUUCCAGCAUUCAAUAAAAUUUCGUAGGUUUAACAACAACAUUUUCAUCAUUCACACAAUUCAAUCAAAUUUCAUAGGUUUAACAACAGCAUUUUCAUCAUUCCCAUAAUUCAAUCAAAUUUCAUGGGUUUAACAACAACAUUUUC
rnacentral:lncRNA from 1 species